GGAGUGUAUUAAGGUGGUUGACUUAUACUUCAAGGGGAGGUGCUGCCCAGAUUUUGGUCUAAAAAUCCUACAUGGACUGCUGUGGGUGUAUAUUCUCUUAUACAAGCUAAGAGGAACUGUUUGAUGAAGUGGAUUUUGGUUGAUCUAUGACAUAGAGAAAUUGAACUCCUCGAAUGGUGGUAGAACUUGUUGUGUGCUAA